UACGACUACAUAUCAGGCAUAUCAAUAAGCGGAGGAAAAGAAACUAACUAGGAUUCCCUUAGUAACGGCGAGUGAAGCGGGAAGAGCUCAAAUUUGAAAUCUUCAAGGUUUUACCUUGACGAAUUGUAGUUUAAAGAAGUGUUUUCUGUUGGUGUUUUGGUAAAAGUUCUUUGGAAUAGGACAUCAUAGAGGGUGAGAAUCCCGUAUUUGACCAUUACUUCCAGCGUUGUGAUACACUUUCAAAGAGUCGGAUUGUUUGGGAAUGCAGUCCAAGAUGGGUGGUAAAUUUCAUCUAAAGCUAAAUAUUGGCGAGAGACCGAUAGCGAACAAGUACCGUGAGGGAAAGAUGAGAAGAACUUUGAAAAGAGAGUUAAACAGUACGUGAAAUUGUCAAAAGGGAAGCGUUUGACACCAGUGUUGUUUUCUCGAAAAUCAAUUAAAAAUGGCUUGAUUUUGUGUUGUAUUGACCUUAAAAGCUUUCUUCACUUUUUUCAUGUCUUUUUUAAUGCACUUUUCGUUUAACAAGUCAGCAUCAGUUUCUUUUGUUGUAAAAAGGUCAUUGGAAGGUGGCUUUCUUUUCGGAGAAAGUGUUUAUAGCCUUUGACUCCUGCAAUCGGAGAGACUGAGGUCUGCAGCGUAGAUCCUUUUGGAUUAGAUUCAUUUGUGCUAAGUUAUAGCUUUUUAUAGACAACAUGUUGACUAUAUUUAGUCUUGUAACUUACUCGCUUAUGUAAUUUUACCUACGCUUAGGAUGUUGACGCGCGUGUGUGCGUG
rnacentral:rRNA from 1 species